UAGGGUCUCUCAAGCCACACC
rnacentral:siRNA from 1 species